CGUACACUCCUGCGGGAGGCAGCAGUGGGGAAUUUUGGACAAUGGGCGAAAGCCUGAUCCAGCCAUGCCGCGUGCAGGAUGAAGGCCUUCGGGUUGUAAACUGCUUUUGUACGGAACGAAACGGCCUUUUCUAAUAAAGAGGGCUAAUGACGGUACCGUAAGAAUAAGCACCGGCUAACUACGUGCCAGCAGCCGCGGUAAUACGUAGGGUGCAAGCGUUAAUCGGAAUUACUGGGCGUAAAGCGUGCGCAGGCGGUUAUGUAAGACAGUUGUGAAAUCCCCGGGCUCAACCUGGGAACUGCAUCUGUGACUGCAUAGCUAGAGUACGGUAGAGGGGGAUGGAAUUCCGCGUGUAGCAGUGAAAUGCGUAGAUAUGCGGAGGAACACCGAUGGCGAAGGCAAUCCCCUGGACCUGUACUGACGCUCAUGCACGAAAGCGUGGGGAGCAAACAGGAUUAGAAACCCGGGUAGUCCCAUGAU
rnacentral:rRNA from 1 species